rnacentral:rRNA from 1 species
UACGAAGGGGGCUAGCGUUGCUCGGAAUUAUUGGGCGUAAAGGGUAGGUAGGUGGUCUCAUUUGUCUGGGGUGAAAGCCUUGAGCUUAACUCAAGAAGUGCCCUAGAAACGGUGAGACUGGAGUCCUGGAGAGGGUCGUGGAAUUCCCGGUGUAGCGGUGAAAUGCGUAGAGAUCGGGAGGAACACCAGAGGCGAAGGCGGCGACCUGGACAGGUACUGACACUCAACUACGAAAGCGUGGGGAGCAAACAGG